GCGACAGGCCUAACACAUGCAAGUCGAGGGGCAGCAUGGUAUCAGCUUGCUGAUACCGAUGGCGACCGGCGCACGGGUGAGUAACGCGUAUGUAAUCUGCCUGUAACAGAGGGGAUAACCCGGAGAAAUCCGGCCUAAUACCUCAUAGCACAUAUUAUUCGCAUGAGUUUUAUGUUAAAGAGACUCGGUUACAGAUGAACAUGCGUUCCAUUAGCUGGUUGGCGGGGUAACGGCCCACCAAGGCGACGAUCAGUAGGGGUUCUGAGAGGAAGGUCCCCCACAUUGGAACUGAGACACGGUCCAAACUCCUACGGGAGGCAGCAGUGAGGAAUAUUGGUCAAUGGACGAGAGUCUGAACCAGCCAAGUAGCGUGCAGGAUGACGGCCCUAUGGGUUGUAAACUGCUUUUAUAAGGGAAUAAAGUGGGAGUCGUGACUCUUUUUGCAUGUACCUUAUGAAUAAGGACCGGCUAAUUCCGUG
rnacentral:rRNA from 1 species